rnacentral:rRNA from 1 species
CUUUUAUGGAGAGUUUGAUCCUGGCUCAGGACGAACGCUGGCGGCGUGCCUAAUACAUGCAAGUCGAGCGGACCUU